CCUACGGGAGGCUGCAGUGGGGAAUAUUGCACAAUGGGGGAAACCCUGAUGCAGCGACGCCGCGUGAGUGAAGAAGUAAUUCGUUAUGUAAAGCUCUAUGAGCAGGGAAGAAAAUGACGGUACCUGAGUAAGAAGCCCCGGCUAACUACGUGCCAGCAGCCGCGGUAAUAAGUAGGGGGCAAGCGUUAUCCGGAUUUACUGGGUGUAAAGGGAGCGUAGACGGCAGUGCAAGUCUGGAGUGAAAGGCGGGGGCUCAACCCCCGGACUGCUCUGGAAACUGUACGGCUGGAGUGCAGGAGAGGUAAGUGGAAUUCCUAGUGUAGCGGUGAAAUGCGUAGAUAUUAGGAGGAACACCAGUGGCGAAGGCGGCUUACUGGACUGUAACUGACGUUGAGGCUCGAAAGCGUGGGGAGCAAACAGGAUUAGAUACCCUUGUAGUC
rnacentral:rRNA from 1 species